AAUAGAUACCCAGGUAGUCCACGCCGUAAACUAUGAUUACUCGAUGUCGGCGAUAUACUGUCGGUGUCCAAGCGAAAGUGAUAAGUAAUCCACCUGGGGAGUACGAUCGCAAGGUUGAAACUCAAAGGAAUUGACGGGGGCCCGCACAAGCGGUGGAGCAUGUGGUUUAAUUCGAUGAUACGCGAGGAACCUUACCUGGGCUUGAAUGCAGUAUGACCGUCCCGGAAACGGGACUUUCUUCGGACAGAAUGCAAGGUGCUGCAUGGUUGUCGUCAGCUCGUGCUGUGAGGUGUCGGGUUAAGUCCCAUAACGAGCGCAACCCCUAUUCUUAGUUGCCAGCGGGUAAUGCCGGGGACUCUAAGAAACUGCCCGCGUAAGCGGUGAGGAAGGUGGGGAUGACGUCAAAUCAUCACGGCCCUUACGUCCAGGGCUACACACGUGCUACAAUGGUCAGUACAAAGGGCGGCUACCUGGUGACAGGAUGCUAAUCUCGAAAACUGAUCUCAGUUCGGAUCGAAGUCUGCAACUCGUA
rnacentral:rRNA from 1 species